rnacentral:rRNA from 1 species
UUAAGCGACUAAGCGUACACGGUGGAUGCCCUGGCAGUCAGAGGCGAUGAAGGGCGUGCUAAUCUGCGAUAAGCGCCGGUAAGGUGAUAUGAACCGUUAUAACCGGCGAUACCCGAAUGGGGAAACCCAGUGUGACUCGUCACACUAUCAUUAACUGAAUCCAUAGGUUAAUGAGGCGAACCGGGGGAACUGAAACAUCUAAGUACCCCGAGGAAAAGAAAUCAACCGAGAUUCCCCCAGUAGCGGCGAGCGAACGGGGAGGAGCCCAGAGCCUGAAUCAGCAUGUGUGUUAGUGGAAGCGUCUGGAAAGGCGCGCGAUACAGGGUGACAGCCCCGUACACAAAAGCGCAUGUGCUGUGAGCUCGAUGAGUAGGGCGGGACACGUGGUAUCCUGUCUGAAUAUGGGGGGACCAUCCUCCAAGGCUAAAUACUCCUGACUGACCGAUAGUGAACCAGUACCGUGAGGGAAAGGCGAAAAGAACCCCGGCGAGGGGAGUGAAAAAGAACCUGAAACCGUGUACGUACAAGCAGUGGGAGCACCCUUUGGGGUGUGACUGCGUACCUUUUGUAUAAUGGGUCAGCGACUUAUAUUCUGUAGCAAGGUUAACCGUAUAGGGGAGCCGGAGGGAAACCGAGUCUUAAUUGGGCGUUAAGUUGCAGGGUAUAGACCCGAAACCCGGUGAUCUAGCCAUGGGCAGGUUGAAGGUUGGGUAACACUAACUGGAGGACCGAACCGACUAAUGUUGAAAAAUUAGCGGAUGACCUGUGGCUGGGGGUGAAAGGCCAAUCAAACCGGGAGAUAGCUGGUUCUCCCCGAAAGCUAUUUAGGUAGCGCCUCGUGAAUUCAUCUCCGGGGGUAGAGCACUGUUUCGGCUAGGGGGCCAUCCCGGCUUACCAACCCGAUGCAAACUGCGAAUACCGGAGAAUGUUAUCACGGGAGACACACGGCGGGUGCUAACGUCCGUCGUGAAGAGGGAAACAACCCAGACCGCCAGCUAAGGUCCCAAAGUCAUGGUUAAGUGGGAAACGAUGUGGGAAGGCCCAGACAGCCAGGAUGUUGGCUUAGAAGCAGCCAUCAUUUAAAGAAAGCGUAAUAGCUCACUGGUCGAGUCGGCCUGCGCGGAAGAUGUAACGGGGCUAAACCAUGCACCGAAGCUGCGGCAGCGAACGUAUCACUUAAAGCGAUUCAGCGGAUGACGAUUGACGGAGCGAAGCGACGUCAAAGCGUAUACAAAGUCGAGUCGGUUUAAGGAUACGUUCGUUGGGUAGGGGAGCGUUCUGUAAGCCUGCGAAGGUGGCCUGUGAGGGUUGCUGGAGGUAUCAGAAGUGCGAAUGCUGACAUAAGUAACGAUAAAGCGGGUGAAAAGCCCGCUCGCCGGAAGACCAAGGGUUCCUGUCCAACGUUAAUCGGGGCAGGGUGAGUCGACCCCUAAGGCGAGGCCGAAAGGCGUAGUCGAUGGGAAACGGGUUAAUAUUCCCGUACUUGGUGUUACUGCGAAGGGGGGACGGAGAAGGCUAUGUUGGCCGGGCGACGGUUGUCCCGGUUUAAGCGUGUAGGUGUGUGUUCCAGGUAAAUCCGGUUCACUUUAACACUGAGGCGUGACGACGAGGCACUACGGUGCUGAAGCAACAAAUGCCCUGCUUCCAGGAAAAGCCUCUAAGCAUCAGGUAACAUCAAAUCGUACCCCAAACCGACACAGGUGGUCAGGUAGAGAAUACCAAGGCGCUUGAGAGAACUCGGGUGAAGGAACUAGGCAAAAUGGUGCCGUAACUUCGGGAGAAGGCACGCUGACAUGUAGGUGAAGUGAUUUACUCACGGAGCUGAAGUCAGUCGAAGAUACCAGCUGGCUGCAACUGUUUAUUAAAAACACAGCACUGUGCAAACACGAAAGUGGACGUAUACGGUGUGACGCCUGCCCGGUGCCGGAAGGUUAAUUGAUGGGGUCAGCGCAAGCGAAGCUCCUGAUCGAAGCCCCGGUAAACGGCGGCCGUAACUAUAACGGUCCUAAGGUAGCGAAAUUCCUUGUCGGGUAAGUUCCGACCUGCACGAAUGGCGUAAUGAUGGCCAGGCUGUCUCCACCCGAGACUCAGUGAAAUUGAACUCGCUGUGAAGAUGCAGUGUACCCGCGGCAAGACGGAAAGACCCCGUGAACCUUUACUAUAGCUUGACACUGAACAUUGAGCCUUGAUGUGUAGGAUAGGUGGGAGGCUUUGAAGUGUGGACGCCAGUCUGCAUGGAGCCGACCUUGAAAUACCACCCUUUAAUGUUUGAUGUUCUAACGUGGACCCGUAAUCCGGGUUGCGGACAGUGUCUGGUGGGUAGUUUGACUGGGGCGGUCUCCUCCUAAAGAGUAACGGAGGAGCACGAAGGUUGGCUAAUCCUGGUCGGACAUCAGGAGGUUAGUGCAAUGGCAUAAGCCAGCUUGACUGCGAGCGUGACGGCGCGAGCAGGUGCGAAAGCAGGUCAUAGUGAUCCGGUGGUUCUGAAUGGAAGGGCCAUCGCUCAACGGAUAAAAGGUACUCCGGGGAUAACAGGCUGAUACCGCCCAAGAGUUCAUAUCGACGGCGGUGUUUGGCACCUCGAUGUCGGCUCAUCACAUCCUGGGGCUGAAGUAGGUCCCAAGGGUAUGGCUGUUCGCCAUUUAAAGUGGUACGCGAGCUGGGUUUAGAACGUCGUGAGACAGUUCGGUCCCUAUCUGCCGUGGGCGCUGGAGAACUGAGGGGGGCUGCUCCUAGUACGAGAGGACCGGAGUGGACGCAUCACUGGUGUUCGGGUUGUCAUGCCAAUGGCACUGCCCGGUAGCUAAAUGCGGAAGAGAUAAGUGCUGAAAGCAUCUAAGCACGAAACUUGCCCCGAGAUGAGUUCUCCCUGAGACUUUAGGUCUCCUGAAGGAACGUUGAAGACGACGACGUUGAUAGGCCGGGUGUGUAAGCGCAGCGAUGCGUUGAGCUAACCGGUACUAAUGAACCGUGAGGCUUAACCUU